rnacentral:tRNA from 2 species
GGGCCGGUGGCACAAUUGGUUAGCGCGCCUGGCUGGCAGUCAGGAGGUUAAGGGUUCAAGUCCCUUCCGGUCCACAA